AGAGUUUGAUCAUGGCUCAGAGCGAACGCUGGCGGCAGGCUUAACACAUGCAAGUCGAGCGGGCGUAGCAAUACGUCAGCGGCAGACGGGUGAGUAACGCGUGGGAACGUACCUUUUGGUUCGGAACAACACAGGGAAACUUGUGCUAAUACCGGAUAAGCCCUUACGGGGAAAGAUUUAUCGCCGAAAGAUCGGCCCGCGUCUGAUUAGCUAGUUGGUGAGGUAACGGCUCACCAAGGCGACGAUCAGUAGCUGGUCUGAGAGGAUGAUCAGCCACAUUGGGACUGAGACACGGCCCAAACUCCUACGGGAGGCAGCAGUGGGGAAUAUUGGACAAUGGGCGCAAGCCUGAUCCAGCCAUGCCGCGUGAGUGAUGAAGGCCCUAGGGUUGUAAAGCUCUUUUGUGCGGGAAGAUAAUGACGGUACCGCAAGAAUAAGCCCCGGCUAACUUCGUGCCAGCAGCCGCGGUAAUACGAAGGGGGCUAGCGUUGCUCGGAAUCACUGGGCGUAAAGGGUGCGUAGGCGGGUCUUUAAGUCAGGGGUGAAAUCCUGGAGCUCAACUCCAGAACUGCCUUUGAUACUGAGGAUCUUGAGUUCGGGAGAGGUGAGUGGAACUGCGAGUGUAGAGGUGAAAUUCGUAGAUAUUCGCAAGAACACCAGUGGCGAAGGCGGCUCACUGGCCCGAUACUGACGCUGGGGCACGAAAGCGUGGGGAGCAAACAGGAUUAGAUACCCUAGUAGUCC
rnacentral:rRNA from 1 species